rnacentral:rRNA from 1 species
AUCGGCCACAUUGGGACUGAGACACGGCCCAAACUCCUACGGGAGGCUGCAGUAGGGAAUCUUCCACAAUGGGCGAAAGCCUGAUGGAGCAACGCCGCGUGUGUGAUGAAGGCUUUCGGGUCGUAAAGCACUGUUGUAUGGGAAGAAAAGUUAAGGUAGGGAAUGACCUUAGCCUGACGGUACCAUACCAGAAAGGGACGGCUAAAUACGUGCCAGCAGCCGCGGUAAUACGUAUGUCCCGAGCGUUAUCCGGAUUUAUUGGGCGUAAAGCGAGCGCAGACGGUUGGUUAAGUCUGAUGUGAAAGCCCGGAGCUCAACUCCGGAAAGGCAUUGGAAACUGGUUAACUUGAGUGCAGUAGAGGUAAGUGGAACUCCAUGUGUAGCGGUGGAAUGCGUAGAUAUAUGGAAGAACACCAGCGGCGAAGGCGGCUUACUGGACUGUAACUGACGUUGAGGCUCGAAAGUGUGGGUAGCAAACAGGAUUAGAUACCCUGGUAGUCCACACCGUAAACGAUGAACACUAGGUGUUAGGAGGUUUCCGCCUCUUAGUGCCGAAGCUAACGCAUUAAGUGUUCCGCCUGGGGAGUACGACCGCAAGGUUGAAACUCAAAGGAAUUGACGGGGACCCGCACAAGCGGUGGAGCAUGUGGUUUAAUUCGAAGCAACGCGAAGAACCUUACCAGGUCUUGACAUCCUUUGAAGCUUUUAGAAAUAGAAGUGUUCUCUUCGGAGACAAAGUGACAGGUGGUGCAUGGUCGUCGUCAGCUCGUGUCGUGAGAUGUUGGGUUAAGUCCCGCAACGAGCGCAACCCUUAUUGUUAGUUGCCAGCAUUCAGAUGGGCACUCUAGCGAGACUGCCGGUGACAAACCGGAGGAAGGCGGGGACGACGUCAGAUCAUCAUGCCCCUUAUGACCUGGGCUACACACGUGCUACAAUGGCGUAUACAACGAGUUGCCAACCUGCGAAGGUGAGCUAAUCUCUUAAAGUACGUCUCAGUUCGGACUGCAGUCUGCAACUCGACUGCACGAAGUCGGAAUCGCUAGUAAUCGCGGAUCAGCACGCCGCGGUGAAUACGUUCCCGGGUCUUGUACACACCGCCCGUCACACCAUGGAAGUUUGUAAUGCCCAAAGCCGGUGGCCUAACCGUAAGGAGGAACC